UAACAAACUCCUCAUGGCCCCGAACGGCCCACCACCAGGCGGUUACAGACGUCGCUGUCAAUCUGUUACGCCCUCCGCCUAUAAAAAGGGGACCCCCAGAUAUGUUAUUCUCUAAGCUCUUAUCUCUAUCUAAAAACUCUGCUAAAAUUUUCGUUCGAGCACUCCAUUCUUGUUGAGGCAGAGAACUGACUUGAGCGUCGGAGGGUCUUGCCGGAGCACCCCCAACUCCGGUUUAGACUUUCUUUGCAGGUCCUGGCGGCG
rnacentral:lncRNA from 1 species